rnacentral:rRNA from 1 species
GUGCCAGCAGCCGCGGUAAUACGGAGGGUGCGAGCGUUAAUCGGAAUUACUGGGCGUAAAGCGCGCGUAGGCGGUUAGUUAAGCUGGAUGUGAAAGCCCCGGGCUCAACCUGGGAACUGCAUUUCGAACUGGCAAACUAGAGUGUGAUAGAGGGUGGUAGAAUUUCAGGUGUAGCGGUGAAAUGCGUAGAGAUCUGAAGGAAUACCGAUGGCGAAGGCAGCCACCUGGGUCAACACUGACGCUCAUGUACGAA